GAUGAAGAACGUAGCGAAAUGCGAUAAGUAACGUGAAUUGCAGAAUUCAGUGAAUCAUCGAAUCUUUGAACGCACAUUGCGCCCAUUAGUAUUCUAGUGGGCAUGCCUGUUCGAGCGUCAUUAAGUCCACUUAAGCCCUGCUUAGUGUUGGGAGACUGCUCCAGCGGUGCUACCCUGUAGCUACCCUGCAGCUCCUCAAAGACAGCGGCGGAGUUGUGGUAUCCUCUGAGCUUAGUAACUUGUUCUAGCUUUCGAGUACACCACUUCCCCUGCCGUAAAACCCUUAAUUUUUAAUGGUUGACCUCGGAUCAGGUAGGAAUACCCGCUGAACUUAAGCAUAUCAAUAAGCGGAGGA
rnacentral:misc_RNA from 1 species